rnacentral:rRNA from 1 species
UGAAACUGCGAAUGGCUCAUUAAAUCAGUUAUAGUUUAUUUGAUAGUACAAUUACUACUUGGAUAACCGUGGUAAUUCUAGAGCUAAUACAUGCUAAAAGUCUCGACUUCUGGAAGGGACGUAUUUAUUAGAUAAAAACCAAUAA